GAUGAACGCUGGCGGCGUGCUUAACACAUGCAAGUCGAACGGGAAUUAUUUUAUUGACACUUCGGUCGAUUUAAUUUAAUUCUAGUGGCGGACGGGUGAGUAACGCGUGGGUAACCUGCCUUAUACAGGGGGAUAACAGUCAGAAAUGGCUGCUAAUACCGCAUAAGCGCACAGAGCUGCAUGGCUCAGUGUGAAAAACUCCGGUGGUAUAAGAUGGACCCGCGUUGGAUUAGCUGGUUGGUGGGGUAACGGCCCACCAAGGCGACGAUCCAUAGCCGGCCUGAGAGGGUGAACGGCCACAUUGGGACUGAGACACGGCCCAGACUCCUACGGGAGGCAGCAGUGGGGAAUAUUGCACAAUGGGGGAAACCCUGAUGCAGCGACGCCGCGUGAAGGAAGAAGUAUCUCGGUAUGUAAACUUCUAUCAGCAGGGAAGAUAGUGACGGUACCUGACUAAGAAGCCCCGGCUAACUACGU
rnacentral:rRNA from 1 species